GACAGAGGGGGCAAGCGUUGCUCGGAAUCACUGGGCGUAAAGGGCGUGUAGGCGGGAGCGUGAGUCGGUCGUGAAAGCCUUCGGCUCAACCGAAGAAGGGCGGCCGAUACUGCGUUCCUUGAGGGGUGGAGAGGAGACUGGAAUUCCCGGUGUAGCGGUGAAGUGCGUUGAGAUCGGAAGGAACGCCCGUGGCGAAAGCGAGGCCCUGGACGUCUGCUGACGCUGAGACGCGAAAGCUAGGGGAGCGAACGGG
rnacentral:rRNA from 1 species